UAUGUUGCUCUCACACGUCGAAACCAACCACGUCACCAUCCCAUUUUUUCGGAUCUGAGAGAGGCAGUUGCAGCGACGGUCGACGGCAGCGGUGGGCGACGGCGCGGCUGCGGGCCACGGGGCGGCUGCGGGCGACAGCGCGGCGGCGGUUCCGGCAACUACGAACGGCGCGGCAGCGGGCGACGGGCUCGGCGGGGCUGUCCCUCGCCCGGAUCCGGCGAGGGCGGUCGUCCUCCGCUGGAUCCAGCGGCGGUGGCCGCCCCACACCCGGAUCCGGCGGUCGACAGGGGCAGCGGGCGACGGGGCGGCUGGCGGCGGCGGUUUGGGGAUGAGGAGGAGCGGCGAGGAGGAGGAGCAGCGGCGUGACGGAUCCGGCGAUCGCUCCGCGUGGACUGCGGCGGCGGCGGAUCGGGGAUGAGGAGGAGCAGCGACGAGGAGCAGCAGCGUGGUUCGGGGAUGAGGAGGAGCGGUGACGAGGAGGAGCAGCGGUGGUGGAGGAUGAGGGAGGCGAGGGAGAAGAGGCUUCGUGCUCCUCCUCGCGUUCGCCCGCAUCUGGCUCCUCCCUAGGGUCGGAGCACUGCAGCGGAGGUGGAGGAUGGAGGAGGAUCAGGGACGCGGCGAUGGUUUGUUCCCUCUUCACUUAUGCUUAGUCCCCUGCUCUGCCGAUGGUGGUGGAGGUCCUGGAUAGGGCGGAUAUGACGGAAUCGACAGCGGCGGAGAGGAGGCCACAUCCCGGCGUCCGGUUCACCUCCUCCAUGCGGUGGCUGGUGCAAUCCGAGCCAUCGAGGUGGGCGACGAUGCCAUCAAAGGGGUGGGAAGACUGGUCGUUGCCGGCUCCAUAUCCACACCAGUGAUGCGGCGGACCAGAUCCAGGUGCUUCUUGCUUCUUUUCCCCACGAAGAGAGACAAAGAGGGAGAAGAAAGGGAUGCCAGUGAUGCUGCAAUGCAACGUCUCCUCUGUGCGCCUGGCAUCAACCCCAUCGAUCUGAUCAUCUUCUUUCUCCUGUUCGUCUUCGUUUUCUUUCCUUCUUUUCUCUGACACGCCCAUUGAUUUUGCAAAGAUUUCACUGUGGUGAUGCCUGCUGAGUACUGUUCUCAUAAUGCAUUCAGACGGUUGGUGGUGCUCCCCUCCAACCGAGUGACCGUCAGCAGGAGAGGGCGGUGGCAUCCUGCGGUGGCUGGAGCGACGACUGGUGCUGCUCCACUCCCCCAAGUUGAGACCUAUUGGAGGAGCAGGCGGCAGCUUCCGGCGGUGGCCAGGCGUAGGCAUUUGAUCAGAGAUUCAUAAUGUUUCCUGAUCAGAGCAGUAGAACACCACCUGCAACAUGCACAUACUCUGGUGUUUCUCUGCAUUGGCUAUUUUUGCCAACAAGAUCAUCAACACCCCACCCUCCAGGUACAAAUAUGACCCUUCACAUGCUUUGAUCUCUCUGGGUGCCUGCGGUAUGUUUUUCACAUGCAUCCAAAUAUGUUGGUAACUAGGAUUUAUUUUUGGGGAUUUUUUUCCUCCUGAAUAGAGCAGAGCAGCUCGACUGCCUCUUGUAUUGUUUUCAUUAGUCUUCUGAGAACAUUUAGUUGAUAUGCUAGCAGUUUCUGAAAUUUUCUACCUGAUAAGUUUCUGAAAUUUUGUAGUAGUAGUUGAUAUCUUAUUAGCUUCUGAAAUUUCGUAGUUCAGCACAACACCUAGCUGAUAGGCUAAACAGUCCUCUGAAUUUUUUUAAGAAUACUUCUUUGAAUGGCUGAAAGAUGGAUGGAGAAUCUUCAUUGAGAGAGAUGUUUUUCAGAGCUCUGAAUGUCAUUUUGUCCAAGUGAAGCCAUUUUAAAAUUUUCAUUUUGGUUGGCUGGACAGUUUGAUACUCUGUUGGCAUCGAAGCUCUGAAAUAUUGUGAAAGUUGUGGGGUUUGGUGAGGUCGAAGGAUAACAGCUUUGGUGUAAUUUACAAGCGCAUACAAAAAACUUACUAACAACUGCAUUAAGGCUGCGUUCUUUCAGGGGAGAUAGGGGGGAUUGUCCCUCGUUUUCCGCGCGCACGCUUUUCAAACUACUAUACGUUGCGUUUUUCGCAAAAAUUUUCUAUAGGAAAGUUGCUUUAAAAAAUCAUAUUAAUCCAUUUUUUAAGUUUAAAAUAGUUAAUACUCAAUUAAUCAUGUGCUAAUGGCUCACCUCGUUUUGCAUAUCUUCCCAAUCUUCUCUAUUUCCUUCUCCUCAAACACAGCCUAAGUUCACAGGUAUAUUAACAUAUUGUGUGCAUGGAACCAUCCACUGAAAAUAUAGUGCCAGAUAUUGCUGGGAAGCAGUGCAACCAGUCCAUAGAUUAGCUGCACUUGCUGAUCAGGAUUAUGAAGCCUAACCCUGCUGCUUGCAAGAAUGAUUUCAAGUGGAAUCUCUUUAUCCAGUUUAGAAAUCAGAAUUGAAGAGGUGCUUAAAUUCAUGCUGGAGAUGACAAAUGCGUAAUUUUUCUAUCCAUCAACACGGCUUGCCCCUCUGCUCGCCGCUGGGGAAGAUUGAUGCACCGACGAAGUGGCCUCUGCCGACUGCUCCCUCAACACCAGAUCCAACACGUACCAAGCAGUCACGCCGACACAUUGUGGAUUUAGCUUCAUGUUUCCUUCUCUUUUUUUUUUUUGCCUGUGGAUGUGUAAUUUUUUUUACCCAUACAGUGACAUGUUGAUCAUUUACUCCUAAUUUGGUGAAAAUGUUGAUCGUUUACUCCUAA